GAGAUAUUAGUAAAUUCAUUACAUAAUCUUGUCAAGAUUAAAUUACGGGAUAACACCCGUAUAUCUCU
rnacentral:tRNA from 1 species